rnacentral:lncRNA from 1 species
AUGGAAUGAAAUCAAAUUUACCUGAAAUCGUUGCCAAAAUGAAAUUGCAACAAUGUCUCGUAGACGAGUGGCUAUUUGAUAAUGAUGCUGUUUGCUGUGUAUUCAAGAAAUUGUUAUGUUUAUCAAAACAUGUACAUGUAUCAACACUAUUGUGUGAAAUAAUUGAAAAUGAUAAGGGCAAUGACCUCAGCAGCAUUGUGUUUAUUGCUAGACAAUUAGGUAGAAGAGGAAAAGAGUUGGACAUUCUAACUCAAGAAGAGGCAGACGAACUUAAUGAUAUCACGGACGUUCUUUUGGAGUAAUGAUUCAAUAAAACUUUUUAAACUAUGAUAGAAUAAAAUAACCAUAACAUCGGC